CCUACGGGAGGCAGCAGUAGGGAAUAUUGCUCAAUGGGGGAAACCCUGAAGCAGCAACGCCGCGUGGAGGAUGAAGGUUUUCGGAUUGUAAACUCCUUUUGGUAGAGAAGAUAAUGACGGUAUCUAACGAAUAAGCACCGGCUAACUCCGUGCCAGCAGCCGCGGUAAUACGGAGGGUGCAAGCGUUACUCGGAAUCACUGGGCGGAAAGAGCGCGUAGGCGGGAUAGCAAGUCAGAGGUGAAAUCCUAUGGCUUAACCAUAGAACUGCAUUUGAAACUGUUAUUCUAGAGUAUGGGAGAGGUAGGUGGAAUUCUUGGUGUAGGGGUAAAAUCCGUAGAGAUCAAGAGGAAUACUCAUUGCGAAGGCGACCUGCUAGAACAUAACUGACGCUGAUGCGCGAAAGCGUGGGGAGCAAACAGGAUUAGAUACCCGGGUAGUC
rnacentral:rRNA from 1 species